AACAAAUGGAAGAACAUUCCAUGCUCAUGGGUAGGAAGAAUUAAUAUCAUGAAAAUGGCCAUACUGCCCAAGGUAAUUUAUAGAUUCAAUGCCAUCCCCAUCAAGCUACCAAUGACUUUCUUCACAGAAUUGGAAAAAACUACUUUAAAGUUCAUAUGGAACCAAAAAAGAGCCCACAUCGCCAAGUCAAUCCUAAGCCAAAAGAACAAAGCUGGAGGCAUCAUGCUACCUGACUUCAAACUAUACUACAAGGCUACAGUAACCAAAACAUCAUGGUACUGGUACCUAAAAAGAGAUAUAGACCAAUGGAACAGAACAGAGGCCUCAGAAAUAACGAUUAAAGAAUCAUUCCAUCUAGCCUUGAUUCUGAAAUAUUCUAUAUAUUUUGAGAGAUAAUCCAUACAGUUCUUUUCUGUAGAAGCCCUUCUUUUUGGAUACUCCAUCUGUCAAGUCAUCUCAGUAGAAAUGUAUUCAACAAAUGUUGGUUGCCUACCACAUCAAGAACUGCUGGGUGCUGCUGGAGAAAUAAGGUUGGGAUAGCCUCCAGCCCUGAGGAUUAGAUAAUCUAGUUACGAGAGAUGAAGGAGUAUAGAAACGCUCAGCUAUGAUUCAAGUCACCUGGAAUCCUUUCUAGAACUAAAUGGGCUGUAAUUUUUUUCCUCCAUAAGUCAAUGUAACUUCAUAUUUUUAACUAUGUAAGCUAAAUAGAAGGUAAAAUAAAAGUACAAAUAAAGUAUUAUCAUAUUAUCCAAAACAAUGUCCAAUAGACAUCACAGUAUUUGUUUUCUGUCCCUAUGUCUGUCUUUUACAUCAUUUUGUUGUCAGCCAGUCCUAAAUGUAUCUAGAAAACAACAUUCUAGGGAAUAGAAACCACUUGGUUUUAAAGCACAUCAGGAAGAAAAUGGCAUUUUCAUAUAAUUAAAUGUUGAAUUUUACUUAAUGAAGCAUAAUUUCUUUGAGCAGUUAAAUACUCAGGGAUUUUAAUUUUGUGGUUAGACUAAGUUUUUACAUCAGAGGGUGAAGUGUAAGGUAGUCAGACUUUAAGCCAGACCCAAGUUGAAGUCCAGUUCUUCUAUUACAUGUCUGACUUGAGCAAAUCUCUUAACUUAUUAACUUCUUGGAGAUUUAGUUUCCUUAUCCAGAUAGUAAGACCCUUUGUAGGGGUUGCAAGGACAAGUAAAUAGAAGGUAUUAAAUAAAUAGCACCUAUUCCAUUGAAUUUACUUCCACAAAACUCUAAAGGCAAUACCAGGUAGAAAAAAGUUUCUUUUGUAGAAAGAAAAGAAUGAAUUUUAAAUGUCUUUCCAUCUUCACACCACCAACCCCAACCAGAGUAAAUGAAUGAUAGUAAAACCUGAGGAUGAAAACUCCCACCAGGCCCAUAGUCUCUGCAUUCUCUGAGACUUCUGAAGCUAUGUGCUAUUUCUGUCAAUACCACCAUCAUUAUGAAAUGGCUCCCUCCCCUUCCUCCUCCACUCUUCUACCAACUGGGUUUAUCUUUUUCCUUUCUCCUCCUUUCCUAUCCUGGCCUUUGGUUACUUUGAGGAAGCUGAUGCAUUCAUCCACCAGCCAACCCUGCAGCUUUGCUGAAAGUGUUCUAAUGAGACAGAGGGUACUAGGUCAAUUACAUGGGUUGCAUCUUUCUCAUUUCUGUAGUCACAGUUUUCCUUUAAAAAAAAAAAAAAAGAAAUGAAAAUAAAAGAGAAAAAAAUCCAAAAUAGAGUCCUAUUGAAUUUAGCUCCCCAGGAUUCAUGAGUUGUUCAGAGGUGGCUUGUAGUCCAGCCUUCAUAUUUCAGAACUGUAGGGAGAUGAGCUCAAUUCCUGAUCUCUCACAUGGCAUGUGCCUCAAUACUUUGGCACAGACCCCCAUGAUCCGCUUGAAGCGGGAAGCAUUAGUCUUUAAUUUGUCUUUAAACUUUUAUCUUUAAUUUGCCCUUUCAUGACACUUUAAUGUGAUCCUUGUGUUUUUAUAUGAAUUAAAAUUUAUAAAUAUAAAGCCUCACUCAUGAGGCCCUUUAUUUUCCUAUCAGCUGGAAGAGAGGAUCUGAGUAAUUCAGCAAGGCGAGGUUUGUUUAGCUGAAAUGAAAAGGGAAAUGGUCAAAGAUGAAAUUGUUUAAUUCUUUCUCACCAACUAACUGCAGAAUUAUAGAUGUCUCUUGAAUGCAAUAAGUUAAUUUCAGUCAUUCUGCUUAUUUGUAUACACGUUGCCAAAGUAAAAGCCUAAUCCAAAAAUUAAUGAUUUGAGAAUCCAUUGGGUAUUCUUCUGGGCCUAGUCCAAUUAUUUUUUUUUUUAUGUGAACACCAAAACUCUCCUACAGUAUGAUAUGUAGCCAACUGAGUGAUUGACUAGUAGCUAAUGCAUAUCAAGGAACAGUUAAACUUGCAGCUUUAAGCUAAGGCAAAGUUCAGCUACUUAACUUCAGUCAUCUUUAAAUGUAAUUAAGUCUCCUGGGCUCCAGUUAUGUGGAACCAGAAACUAGAAAGGCUGGGUUUUUCAAUGGAAAUAACAACUGGUUAUAAUCCACCAGCAAAAGUAAUGAAAAUAUUCAAGGGAAGAAAUUUUUGUUAAAAAGAAUCAGAUGUCAUGUUAUUGACUGUUUAAAAAGUACAACAAACUGUUUCAUAAUAUGCCAAAUAGUACCCACUAUGUAAAUUAAUAAAAGCACCACAGAUUAGUUUGGGGGGAAUCUGAUUAGGAUAGGAGUUGAAAAUAAUGUGCACUUCGCUAACAGAUGUACUCUUCAUCAUAGCAUCCUUUAUAUCCAUAUCCAUUCUGCUUGAUAGGAGGAGACACCCACUGUUCUUAAAGCUCAGCGUGCCACCAGGCAAACUCUAUUGGAGCAUUGCUGCAACACAAAGUCCUAAAAUUCCUGCUGUAGAACUGGAAGAAGCAGGUUGUGACAGCUUUUCAUUUGCCCCCUGCUUAAUUCUCUUAGGAUAAUACUUAUAAUUACUUUAUGUAGGGAAGUCCUUUUGGCCCCAUAGUAAUUUUUAUCAUGCCAACAUCUAGCACCAUCGGUCCACCCUUCUCC
rnacentral:lncRNA from 1 species